rnacentral:rRNA from 1 species
UACGUAGGGUGCGAGCGUUAAUCGGAAUUACUGGGCGUAAAGCGUGCGCAGGCGGUUCGCUAAGACCGAUGUGAAAUCCCCGGGCUUAACCUGGGAACUGCAUUGGUGACUGGCGGGCUAGAGUGUGGCAGAGGGGGGUAGAAUUCCACGUGUAGCAGUGAAAUGCGUAGAGAUGUGGAGGAACACCGAUGGCGAAGGCAGCCCCCUGGGUCAAGAUUGACGCUCAUGCACGAAAGCGUGGGGAGCAAACAGG